rnacentral:rRNA from 1 species
GGGUCAGUAGGUUGGUCGUGCCACCGGUACGUACUGGUCCCACUGAUUCCUCCUUCCUGAAGAACUGUAAUGCCAUUAAUUUGGUGUUGCGGGGAAACAGGACUGUUACUUUGAAAAAAUUAGAGUGUUUAAAGCAAGCUAACGCUUGAAUACAUUAGCAUGGAAUAAUGAAAUAGGACGAUCGAUCCUAUUUUGUUGGUUUCUAGGAUUGACGUA